UACAGAGGUCCCAAGCGUUGUUCGGAUUCACUGGGCGUAAAGGGUGCGUAGGUGGUGCGGUAAGUCGGAUGUGAAAUCUCCGAGCUCAACUCGGAAAUGGCAUUGGAAACUACCUUGCUCGAGGGUUGGAGGGGGGACUGGAAUGCUUGGUGUAGCAGUGAAAUGCGUAGAUAUCAAGCGGAACACCAGUGGCGAAGGCGAGUCCCUGGACAACUCCUGACACUGAGGCACGAAAGCUAGGGGAGCAAACAGG
rnacentral:rRNA from 1 species